UGAUGCCGAGCCCUUUUGGGUGAAGUGGGUAAUCCUAUGCUGUCGAGAAAAACCUCUAGCGAGCUACGCGCCGCCCGUACCCCAAACCGACUCAGGUGAUCAGGUAGAGAAUACUAAGGCGAUCGAGUGAACCAUGGUUAAGGAACUCGGCAAAAUGCCCCCGUAACUUCGGGAGAAGGGGGGCCUGAGGCGUGAAGGGAUUUACUCCUGGAGCGUUUGAAGGCCGCAGAGACCAGUGGGAAGCGACUGUUUACUAAAAACACAGGUCCGUGCUAAGUCGCAAGACGAUGUAUACGGACUGACGCCUGCCCGGUGCUGGAAGGUUAAGAGGACCGGUCAACCACUUCGGUGGUGAAGCUGAGAAUUUAAGCCCCAGUAAACGGCGGUGGUAACUAUAACCAUCCUAAGGUAGCGAAAUUCCUUGUCGGGUAAGUUCCGACCUGCACGAAUGGCGUAACGACUUCUCAACUGUCUCAACCAUAGACUCGGCGAAAUUGCACUACGAGUAAAGAUGCUCGUUACGCGCGGCAGGACGAAAAGACCCCGGGACCUUCACUACAACUUGGUAUUGGAGUUCGUUACGGUUUGUGUAGGAUAGGUGGGAGACUGUGAAGCAUUAACGCCAGUUAGUGUGGAGUCAUUGUUGAAAUACCACUCUGAUCGUAUUGGGCUUCUAACUUCGAACCGUAUAUCCGGUUCAGGGACAGUGCCUGGUGGGUAGUUUAACUGGGGCGGUUGCCUCCUAAAAUGUAACGGAGGCGCCCAAAGGUUCCCUCAGCCUGGUUGGCAAUCAGGUGUUGAGUGUAAGUGCACAAGGGAGCUUGACUGUGAGACCGACGGGUCGAGCAGGGACGAAAGUCGGGACUAGUGAUCCGGCAUCUCCUGGUGGAAGGGGUGUCGCUCAACGGAUAAAAGGUACCCCGGGGAUAACAGGCUGAUCUUCCCCAAGAGUCCAUAUCGACGGGAUGGUUUGGCACCUCGAUGUCGGCUCGUCGCAUCCUGGGGCUGGAGCAGGUCCCAAGGGUUGGGCUGUUCGCCCAUUAAAGCGG
rnacentral:rRNA from 1 species